UGCAUUACAUACACAAAGUGCUUACAACAGUGCCUGACACAAAGCACAUGCUACACAAUGACCAUUUAUUAUCAUGGAAUGUGGUUGGCCUAGAAGAAGAGGUAGAAUUUGAACUGGAGCUGAAGGUUAAGCAUGACUGGGUAAAGACAGCUAUAUGCCAGUGAGUGUGUAACACACAUUUUUAUAUGGCUGUAAAGAUAAGCAGUUAAGGUGGUGUAAAUAGUUGCAUUCAUUUUAUUUCUACUGGUUUCCAUGCGUUGGAGAAGUAAUUCUUUCGGUAUUUGGCUUUCUCCUGGCCUCAUGACUGACACUGACGUGUUGAUCAUAGUGUUCUUUCCGGUGAGCAGAUGCAACCUCAGAAUGUGUCUCAACAGGUUCCUCAGGGAGUGCCUUCCAGUUUGGAGGGACCAGAGAGAUAAAAACACAGAUGCCAUCCCCAGUGCUCACGUGGGGAUUGCCUGGAGCGUAAAUUCCCAGCAGGAAAGAAGAAGCAACAGGCAGGAGAACGCAAGGGAGGACCAGCAACAACAUCCUCACUGCUCCUUCGGACGUUCAAAACUCUCCUUAUAGACAACAACGCUGAGGCUCAGAGGAGUAAGUGAUGAUCCCGCGGCAGCGAAGGUGUUAAGUCAUGUUCAGGAUUCGGGUCCAGGCUGUUUGGCAGGCAUUGCCAGAUUCGGAAUUGCUAGAAUUUAAGUUCACUGAUGGUCAUUUCAAGACACUUAUUCCAAUACCCGUCUAAGUAUGCAGGAUUUAAUCAUCGUUUUAGGAUGAAGAGCAGGCUCUACUCUAGGACAACCAUCUGGUGAUUCUGUAACCUGACGUCGUUUUAUCAGAUCAAGUGCAUUUUCCUGGCAGCGCAUGUGAAUAAGCAGGGGAAGCGUUAAGCCCCCUCCGGGGAGCAGAGAGUUCCUUUAAAUCACCUUUACAGCAGCACUUACUGCCCUGCUUUCUUCAGGGGCGUGACUUCCAAUUUACUAAUCCAGGUUCUCUGAUGAGCUGUCUGGGGGCCUGUAACCCUGUUCCUAUUUUCGGCGCUGCCCGACUGGUUAUUGGCCUUGUAGCGCAACAAGGCGUUUGAAGCAAACCUCUUCUGUCCGACCAGACUCUCUUUAAAUGAAGGCUCUGAAAUGGGCCCAGGUGCAGAGGGCUGGGCUUCACCAGGUUCCCAGCCUGCCGAACCCUUCGCGCGGCCGCCACCGUCCACAGUGAGACCGAUGGAGUGGAAAAUAAUAGCAGUCUUCACGAGGAGGAUUCAUGCAUUGUUGGUUUCAGAGAACCAAUCAUUUAAAAACAAUUUACCACCACAAACGGGAUGCCAUUUUAGAGAAACACGAAUAGAACAGAAGUGGUGUUUCUAAGGAUUUAACUGGCUGGCCCCAGCAAGGGCAGUGUGUUGGGCUUAGCCAUCUGCCUGUGUUUUAGAAACACCACUGCAGCCACACUGUGCCAGAAAACGAAGAAACCGAGAGAAAACCAGCAUCAGGGUCCUGUUCUCUUUAGAUGUCAUCAUUCAUUGCCUAAAUCCCAGUUUCCUUUACUAAAACAGGGUAUUGUUAUUGGAUUGUGUACUUCAAUAAAGUGAAAACUGGGGUAAAGAUGA